CACGUAGGGUGCGAGCGUUGUCCGGAAUUAUUGGGCGUAAAGAGCUCGUAGGCGGUGUGUCGCGUCGGCCGUGAAAACCUGCAGCUUAACUGUGGGCGUGCGGUCGAUACGGGCAUCACUGGAGUUCGGCAGGGGAGACUGGAAUUCCUGGUGUAGUGGUGGAAUGCGUAGAUAUCGGGAGGAACACCAGUGGCGAAGGCGGUUACCUGGGGCUUUGCUGACGCUGAUGCGCGAAAGCGUGGGGAGCGAUCCGG
rnacentral:rRNA from 1 species